GAAAAUUGGUAGCGGUUCUUUUGGGGAGAUCUACCUCGGUGGUAAUGUUCAAACUAAUGAAGAGGUUGCUAUCAAGCUGGAAAAUGUGAAAACAAAGCAUCCUCAACUGUUGUACGAAGCAAAGCUGUAUAAAAUACUACAAGGAGGAACUGGAAUCCCCAAUUUAAAAUGGUUUGGAGUUGAAGGAGAUUACAAUGUCCUUGUGAUGGAUUUACUGGGACCUAGU
rnacentral:misc_RNA from 1 species